GAGAUGUUAAAGGUAGGUGUGCUAGAAGACAUGCAAUAAUACUGCAGAAAUCAGCCAUGUUGCUGAAAGGAUUUAUCUCUGUUUCCAGCCUGGCACAGAAUGUAAAUGGUACAUAGAGUCCUCUGACUCCUUUUUUGUUUUCUCUUCCUUCAUCUUUCUUCUCGUAUGUUUUGGACCUUCUGAAUUCAAGACAGGUACCAUAAAGUAGUCCCUAAAAGUCAGAUAGCUGAAAGCAAUCCUUCUGUCUUCAAGCUCAAGUUUAUUUUUUGUUAUUUCAGCUUUCUUGAGUAAAGACAAGGGAUGAAGGUAAGAAGUGAGUCACACAUUUGAAGAGAAGAUCUGAGUAACAGGAAGCAAGAGAGAAGAUGAGGAGAGGAUGAAGGAGUAAAGUCAAUGCUAGAGAAGAAACUUUGCUUAGAAGAUAAACUGCAAGGCUCACAGUGAAUCACAGCUCUUGUGAAGUGGCAGAGCAUUCCGGUUCCAUUUUAUAGAAGGAGAUCUGAAACAAAGAUGUGGGUAAACGUCAGUGCAGUUGGAAGACGCAUUCAGCAAUACCUCUAUUGCUCUGCUGCCCCAUAGGUGAAGAGCAGCGUCCUGGCACUGGUGGUUAUCUAUCCUUCUGUAUUUAAUCCCUAAUCACCUGUUGGGAGGAGAGUAAGAAAACAAGCAGAUCAUUCCUAUUUCCAUGCCUGCACCUGGAUCUUAGCAGGGAUGUAAGGGGAGACUUGCCCCCCUAGCCUGGAGAUGCUGUUAACAUUGCAGUAUAACCUGUAGCAUCAAAGGUACAAAGACUAUGGCGAGCUUUAAACAAAUGAGAGGGACAGAGAACCUGCAAACAAAACAGGUAGCGACAGGCAUGACCAGCCAACGUGGUUCAUGGCAGAGCCCAGACAUGCAAUUAAAGCAAAAUUCAACUCCCUCUGUGUAGAGCAGAUUGAUUGGAGAGGUAUUGUCAUUUAACCUCUGAGAGUUUUAUCAGGCUGUAGUGGUGUCAGCUCUCUUUGGGCUUAUUUAUCUGAGUCAUUAAUAAGUCAUCAGAGACAU